rnacentral:lncRNA from 1 species
CAAAUAACAAAACGCAUCAAAAACGAAUGGACAAGAACUGUCAUAUUCCUGACUUGGUACAGGCAUUUUCAAAUGUAGAAAAUGGUGGAUUAAACCUGGUUCUAUAGCGCUAACCCUCUCACUUUAAUGACAGUCUCAUCAAUUUCCGAUAUUUUUACAUUGAUGCGUUAAAUAAACAGACACAACAAGUGAAACUGCGAGCUACUGCUCACUGAUGAUACCCCCGCCGCAAGUGGAUAAUAUUAAUAGUGUAAAAAUAUGCAAGUGUUCGGUAAACAGGAAGUUGUCGAGUGAUGAAUCUGAAAACGCAUCACAC